rnacentral:rRNA from 1 species
AUUGAACGCUGGCGGCAGGCCUAACACAUGCAAGUCGAACGGUAGCACAGAGAGCUUGCUCUCGGGUGACGAGUGGCGGACGGGUGAGUAAUGUCUGGGAAACUGCCCGAUGGAGGGGGAUAACUACUGGAAACGGUAGCUAAUACCGCAUAACGUCGCAAGACCAAAGUGGGGGACCUUCGGGCCUCACACCAUCGGAUGUGCCCAGAUGGGAUUAGCUAGUAGGUGGGGUAAUGGCUCACCUAGGCGACGAUCCCUAGCUGAUCUGAGAGGAUGACCAGCCACACUGGAACUGAGACAAGGUCCAGACUCCUACGGGAGGCAGCAGUGGGGAAUAUUGCACAAUGGGCGCAAGCCUGAUGCAGCCAUGCCGCGUGUAUGAAGAAGGCCUGCGGGUUGUAAAGUACUUUCAGCGGGGAGGAAGGCGGUGAAGUUAAUAACUUCACCGAUUGACGUUACCCGCAGAAGAAGCACCGGCUAACUCCGUGCCAGCAGCCGCAGUAA